UUCCACCUAACACAAUCAUUACCAUUACCGUUACAAUUUCUCCUCUUUACUGAUUAUUAUUAUUAUUAUUAUUCCCCAGCCAGGCGAUGUCAUUGUCUUCCACAUGAGAACAGUGCACGGAGCAGCUGGCAACAGUUCGUCAACAAAUCAGCGACGGGUGUUGUCAUCACGAUGGUUAGGCGACGACGCAGUCUUGGCGACACGCCCUUGGGAGGUGUCGCCGCCCAUCACGGGUGGUCUGCAGCCCGGUCAGAGGGCCGUCUGUGAUACAUUCCCUUUGGUCUACAGGAGAGAGUGACGACCACCUGCCCGACCCUGGAGGAGGAGACGCCGUCGCUUUGGCAUUAGCAAUAUGACCUCUUUUCAUGGGGAACCAAAUUAGUUUUAUUGAGAUCAACUCUUGAUUUAAGACUUUUUCCUUCCUCUGUGUCUCUCCAUCUCCACAACACACUCUUUCUGUCUAUUAACCACUAUCUCAUUGCUAUUACACUCAGCGUGUGUGUCUCUACAAUCAAGAAUAAAUGACGCAUCUCUGUAUUAAUCUACUCGUACUUAAACUUGUAUCUUUGGUGUUCAAUAAUCAUCUACAGAAGGGUCUUUGCCCUGAUUUGAAAAUAUUCAAAAAGUGGAUCCCGAGAUAAAACUAGCCAAUUGUCCUGACAUAGGCGUACUUUAACGGAUGAGUCAUGGCUGAGCCCUCAUGCUAAAAAGAUAUUCCAAUACACCAACCACUCAUCAGCAGCCCAAUAAAGCCCUCUAUGCACGCUGCACUCCCCACCUUCAUCUUGUACAAUCGCUCUGGAAAGUUCUGGCACACUUUUCAGUGAAUUUUGGACAAGAGUUUACGAAAUAGUAACUGGCAACUUUUACGAGGCCAUCCCUCCCGUCUUCUCUCUGACAGUGAUAUAAUAUCACUCAGUCUCGGACUGUCGCCAGAUCAGCUGUAGCUUGCCACACGGAAAAAAAAAGAAAAUAAGACCCAGAGAGGAAGUAAUUUGCGCAGUGCUUUUUAUUUUAUCGACAAAUUUCUUUCUAGUGUUUUCCCUUUUGCUUCAUACUGGUUUUAGCAGAUGCCAAUUUUAUAACAAAGAGAGAGAGAGAGAGAGAUGGAACAAGCGCUGCUUGCCUGUCUUGAAAUAAAUUCCUAGUCUUUUGCUCUAACCGGAUGUAUUUGUUUGCUCAGCUUUGCUGCAACAAAUCACAACAUUGAAUAUUGAAUAUGAUAUCAAUUAAUAUGCUCAUCCAUACUCACACACACUCACACAAAAAGUUAAAAUUCAUCUUAAGUGACACCUUUUUACAUGGACUGUUAGGCCUACCCUUUUUAAAUUCUAUACCUAU